rnacentral:rRNA from 1 species
UACAGAGGUGGCAAGCGUUGUUCGGAAUUACUGGGCGUAAAGAGCGCGCAGGCGGUCGUUCAAGUCGAGUGUGAAAGCCCCCGGCUCAACUGGGGAGGGUCACUCGAUACUGAUCGACUUGAAGGCGGGAGAGGGAAGCGGAAUUCCCGGUGUAGUGGUGAAAUGCGUAGAUAUCGGGAGGAACACCGAUGGCGAAGGCAGGUCACUGGGCCGCAACUGACGCUGAGGAGCGAAAGCAUGGGGAGCGAACAGG